UAAGGAAUAUUGGUCAAUGGGCGGAAGCCUGAACCAGCCAUGCCGCGUGCAGGAAGACGGCCCUACGGGUUGUAAACUGCUUUUGCAGGGGAAUAAACCUCAUUACGAGUAAUGAGUUGAAUGUACUCUGAGAAUAAGGAUCGGCUAACUCCGUGCCAGCAGCCGUGGUAAUACGGAGGAUCCAAGCGUUAUCCGGAUUUAUUGGGUUUAAAGGGUGCGUAGGCGGCCUGUUAAGUCAGGGGUGAAAGACGGUAGCUUAACUAUCGCAGUGCCCUUGAUACUGAUGGGCUUGAAUGUACUAGAGGUAGGCGGAAUGUGACAAGUAGCGGUGAAAUGCAUAGAUAUGUCACAGAACACCAAUUGCGAAGGCAGCUUACUAUGGUAUGAUUGACGCUGAGGCACGAAAGUGUGGGGAUCAAACAGG
rnacentral:rRNA from 1 species